GUAAUUAUUUUUCUAUGUAUGUUGUAUCUCUCACCUUUGUGAUGCUCGGUGACAGGAAGAAGCUUGGUCCUACUAGGUGCCGAGUGCUCGUGCGCGGGUCUUGCAGAUGCUGGAUCUACAUUGCUGAAUGACAUGGCCGUGGUUCCUAUCAUUACAACCUAGCGAGGAAAACAGAUAGAGUCAGUGUUUCAGACUUUGUCCUCCGGCAUUCUAGAGGCAUCUCUCCUGGGGCACUCAUCACCAGACUGGGUCACAGAGCAUCCUUCCCUAGCUUCCUGUGAACUUCAUGGACCACCCAGAGGGACUCAUGUAUAGAUA